UAACCCGCGAAGCUCAAUAUUUUCACAACAGAAAUGCGUCCGGGGAAGGACCUUUUUAAAUUACUUCUCGCUUGUUUUGCGUUUUUUUCUUUCUUGUGGCUCUCACCUUAUGUUUUGAUGAAACUUGUGAUCGUUCUUUUAUGUUCUCGUCUUUUCGUUUUCCUUGGCAAGUAUUGGCAUUGAAGGAAGUAAUUCCCGUCUAGAGUACCGGAUGAACUACCCCAUCUCUUGUCCCCUUGCCUUCUUGCUCUGAUUUAGCUACCCCUCUUAU
rnacentral:lncRNA from 1 species